GAUGAACGCUAGCGGCAGGCCUAACACAUGCAAGUCGAGGGGCAUCACGGAUUGCUUGCAAUCUGGUGGCGACCGGCGCACGGGUGCGUAACGCGUAUACAACCUACCUUUUGGAGGGGAAUAGCCCAGAGAAAUUUGGAUUAAUACCCCAUAGUAUAUAGGAAUCUCCUGAUUUUUAUAUUAAACAUUUAUGGCCAUUAGAUGGGUAUGCGUCCUAUUAGCUAGUUGGUGUGGUAACGGCACACCAAGGCUACGAUAGGUAGGGGUCCUGAGAGGGAGAUCCCCACACUGGUACUGAGACACGGACCAGACUCCUACGGGAGGCAGCAGUGAGGAAUAUUGGACAAUGGGCGGGAGCCUGAUCCAGCCAUGCCGCGUGCAGGAAGACUGCCCUAUGGGUUGUAAACUGCUUUUUACAGAGGAAGAACCACCCCCACGUGUGGGGGUUUGACGGUACUCUGCGAAUAAGGAUCGGCUAACUCCGUG
rnacentral:rRNA from 1 species